rnacentral:tRNA from 1 species
ACGGGUGUAGCUCAAUUGGUAGAGUACCGGUCUCCAAAACCGAUGGUUGGGGGUUCGAGUCCCUCCUCCCGUG